AUUGAACGCUGGCGGAAUGCUUUACACAUGCAAGUCGAACGGCAGCACGGGGGCAACCCUGGUGGCGAGUGGCGAACGGGUGAGUAAUACAUCGGAACGUGCCCGGUCGUGGGGGAUAACGUAGCGAAAGUUACGCUAAUACCGCAUACGAUCUGAGGAUGAAAGCGGGGGACCUUCGGGCCUCGCGCGAUCGGAGCGGCCGAUGUCAGAUUAGGUAGUUGGUGGGGUAAAGGCCUACCAAGCCGACGAUCUGUAGCUGGUCUGAGAGGACGACCAGCCACACUGGGACUGAGACACGGCCCAGACUCCUACGGGAGGCAGCAGUGGGGAAUUUUGGACAAUGGGCGCAAGCCUGAUCCAGCCAUUCCGCGUGCAGGACGAAGGCCUUCGGGUUGUAAACUGCUUCUGUAUGGAACGAAAAGGCUCUGGCUAAUACCUGGGGCUCAUGACGGUACCGGAAGAAUAAGCACCGGCUAACUACGUG
rnacentral:rRNA from 1 species